UGUCCUUAACUGUGCCAUAUAACUUC
rnacentral:piRNA from 1 species